GUAGUCAUAUGCUUGUCUCAAAGAUUAAGCCAUGCAUGUCUAAGUAUAAGCAAUUAUACCGUGAAACUGCGAAUGGCUCAUUAAAUCAGUUAUCGUUUAUUUGAUAGUACCUUACUACUUGGAUAACCGUGGUGAUUCUAGAGCUAAUACAUGCUGAAAACUCCAACUUCGGGAGGGGUGUAUUUACUAGGUAAAAAACCAACGCCCUUCGGGGCUUCUUGGUGAUUCAUGAUAACUUUACGGAUCGCAUGGCCUUGCGCCGGCGACGGUUCAUCCAAAUUUCUGCCCUAUCAACUUUCGAUGGUAAGGUAUUGGCUUACCAUGGUUUCAACGGGUAACGGGGAAU
rnacentral:rRNA from 1 species